rnacentral:rRNA from 1 species
UGAGAAUUUGAUCUUGGUUCAGAUUGAACGCUGGCGGCGUGGAUGAGGCAUGCAAGUCGAACGGAAUAAUGACUUCGGUUGUUAUUUAGUGGCGGAAGGGUUAGUAAUACAUAGAUAAUCUGUCCUCAACUUGGGAAUAACGGUUGGAAACGACCGCUAAUACCGAAUGUGGUAUGUUUAGGCAUCUAAAACAUAUUAAAGAAGGGGAUCUUCGGACCUUUCGGUUGAGGGAGAGUCUAUGGGAUAUCAGCUUGUUGGUGGGGUAAUGGCCUACCAAGGCUUUGACGUCUAGGCGGAUUGAGAGAUUGACCGCCAACACUGGGACUGAGACACUGCCCAGACUUCUACGGAAGGCUGCAGUCGAGAAUCUUUCGCAAUGGACGAAAGUCUGACGAAGCGACGCCGCGUGUGUGAUGAAGGCUCUAGGGUUGUAAAGCACUUUCGCUUGGGAAUAAGAGAGAUUGGCUAAUAUCCAAUCGAUUUGAGCGUACCAGGUAAAGAAGCACCGGCUAACUCCGUGCCAGCAGCUGCGGUAAUACGGAGGGUGCUAGCGUUAAUCGGAUUUAUUGGGCGUAAAGGGCGUGUAGGCGGAAAGGAAAGUUAGAUGUUAAAUCUUGGGGCUCAACCCCAAGCCAGCAUCUAAUACUAUCUUUCUAGAGGGUAGAUGGAGAAAAGGGAAUUCCACGUGUAGCGGUGAAAUGCGUAGAUAUGUGGAAGAACACCAGUGGCGAAGGCGCUUUUCUAAUUUACACCUGACGCUAAGGCGCGAAAGCAAGGGGAGCAAACAGGAUUAGAUACCCUGGUAGUCCUUGCCGUAAACGAUGCAUACUUGAUGUGGAUAGUCUCAACCCUAUCCGUGUCGUAGCUAACGCGUUAAGUAUGCCGCCUGAGGAGUACACUCGCAAGGGUGAAACUCAAAAGAAUUGACGGGGGCCCGCACAAGCAGUGGAGCAUGUGGUUUAAUUCGAUGCAACGCGAAGAACCUUACCUGGGCUUGACAUGUAUUUGACCGCGGCAGAAAUGUCGUUUUCCGCAAGGACAGAUACACAGGUGCUGCAUGGCUGUCGUCAGCUCGUGCCGUGAGGUGUUGGGUUAAGUCCCGCAACGAGCGCAACCCUUAUCGUUAGUUGCCAACACUUAGGGUGGGAACUCUAACGAGACUGCCUGGGUUAACCAGGAGGAAGGCGAGGAUGACGUCAAGUCAGCAUGGCCCUUAUGCCCAGGGCUACACACGUGCUACAAUGGCCAGUACAGAAGGUAGCAAUAUCGUGAGAUGGAGCAAAUCCUCAAAGCUGGCCCCAGUUCGGAUUGUAGUCUGCAACUCGACUACAUGAAGUCGGAAUUGCUAGUAAUGGCGUGUCAGCUAUAACGCCGUGAAUACGUUCCCGGGCCUUGUACACACCGCCCGUCACAUCAUGGGAGUUGGUUUUGCCUUAAGUCGUUGACUCAACCUGCAAAGGAGAGAGGCGCCCAAGGUGAGGCUGAUGACUGGGAUGAAGUCGUAACAAGGUAGCCCUACCGGAAGGUGGGGCUGGAUCACCUCCUUU